AUUGAACGCUGGCGGCAGGCCUAACACAUGCAAGUCGAACGAGUGGCGGACGGGUGAGUAAUGUCUGGGAAACUGCCCGAUGGAGGGGGAUAACUACUGGAAACGGUAGCUAAUACCGCAUACCAUCGGAUGUGCCCAGAUGGGAUUAGCUUUUCUGUGAGGUAACGGCUCACCUAGGCGACGAUCCCUAGCUGGUCUGCGAGGAUGACCAGCCACACUGGACAGUAGACACGGUCCAGACUCGUACGGGAGGCAGCAGUGGGGAAUAUUGCACAAUGGGCGCAAGCCUGAUGCAGCCAGGCCGCGUGUAUGAAGAAGGCCUUCGGGUUGUAAAGUACUUUCAGCGGGGAGGCGUGACCCGCAGAAGAAGCACCGGCUAACUCCGUGCCAGCAGCCGCGGUAAUAC
rnacentral:rRNA from 1 species